rnacentral:rRNA from 1 species
UACGUAGGAGGCGAGCGUUGUCCGGAAUUACUGGGCGUAAAGAGCGCGUAGGCGGCAUAGUACGACCUGUGUGAAAAGCCCCCCGGCUCAACUGGGGAGGGUCACAGGUAACGGCUGAGCUCUGAGUGCAGGAGAGGGAAGUGGAACUCCGGGAGUAGCGGUGAAAUGCGUAGAGACCUGGAGGAACACCAGUGGCGAAAGGCGGCUUCCCUGGUCUGCAACUGACGCUGUGGCGCGAAAAGCUAGGGGGGAGCAAAACGGGG